UUUAACUCAAGCCAUUUUAUACUCAAAUCAUUCCUUACAUAAUUUGGAAUUUUCGCAGUCCUCCAUUAAAGCUUCAGUUCAAAAGUUUAUGGAAGAGAUGUUCUUGGCCCUGGAAAAUCCCUGUUCCCUCAUCGCCACCUCCGCUUAUGACACUGCAUGGCUAGCCAUGGUUCCUGAAGAUAAUCGCAACCCUUCGCAACCCAUGUUCAAGAAUUGCUUGGAUUGGGUGCUCAACAACCAGAAAGAAGAUGGAUUUUGGGGAGAGUGUGACGCCCUUGGCAUGCCCACUAUUGAGUGCCUUCCGGCAACCAUUGCUUGCAUGGUUGCGCUCAAAAGAUGGAAUGCUGGGGAACUAUUGAUUGAGAGAGGUAUGGCAUUCAUUGGGGCUGAUGCAGAGAAGCUUGUUGCGAGAGAAAUAUAUCAGUCGUGUCCGCGGUGGUUUGCCAUAAUUUUCCCAGCAAUGAUUGAGCUUGCGCAUGCAAAUGGCCUGGAGAUUAUCUUCCCCGACAGAUUACAGCGAGCAGUGAUGGAUAUAUUCUAUAGAAGGCAGGAAAUUCUUGAUAGGGAGAAACUCGUAGACAAGUGCACUCACCCUCCAUUAUUAGCUUAUCUCGAAGCCUUGCCUCUGCACAAUAUUGAUCAAGAAGAUGUUGUUAAGCACUUGUGUAAUGAUGGUUCGCUAUUCGAGUCCCCUUCUGCUACUGCACGUGCCUUCAUGGCUACUGGAAACAAAGACUGUUUAAGUUACCUUCAAUCUCUCGUUCAAAAAUGUCCUUGUGGAGUUCCACCAACAUAUCCCAUGGAUGAAGAGCUAAUAAAGCUUUGCUUGGUCAACCAUUUACAAAGGCUGGGUUUGGCUCAAUAUUUCAAGCAAGAGAUUGGGGAAGUAUUGCAACAUGUUUACUGGAAUUACAUGAACCAAGAAUCCAAUGCAGAAUCAGACAAUUCAGUUGUUCUUGCAUCAACGCUAUACAAAGAUUCUUUGGCAUUUCGGCUCCUUCGGAUGCAUGGAUAUAAUGUAUCACCAUGGAUGUUUUGUUGGUUUUUAGAUGAAGGAAUUCAAGAUCAUAUCCAAAACUAUCAGGAAUUCUUCUCAAGUGUAAUGCUUAACGUUCACAGGGCCACCGAUCUUAUGUUUCCUGGGGAAUAUGAAGUUGAGGAGGCUAAAUCUUUUUCAAGGAAUUUACUCGAGAAAAGCAUACCAAUGCAAACCAGAGACCAAAAGGAUUUUCCAUUCCCAAAUUUUCAUAAAAUGAUCAAGCAUGAGUUAAGGUUUCCAUGGCUGGCUCGACUAGAACACCUAGAACACAGGAUGUGGAUUGAAGAAAAGAAUAUCACUGCUCUAUGGAUGGGAAAAGCCUCGUUCGUUAGGUUUUCAAGCUUUCAUAAUGACAAGCUAAUGCAACUUGCCACAAGAAACUACGAGUUUCGACAGUCAAUUUACAGGAAAGAAUUGGAGGAGCUGAAAAGGUGGUCUAAAAGCUGGGGUCUUACUGAUAUGGGAUUUGCUCGGGAGAAAACUGAAUAUUGUUACUUUGCUGUUGCUGCUAGUACUUCACUGCCUCUGGAUUCUGAUAUACGAAUGAUAAUUGCAAAGAGUGGAAUAAUUAUCACAGUUGCUGAUGAUUUUUACGACACGGAAGGUUCUUUGGAUGAGUUGGAAAACCUCACAGAUGCAAUUAGAAGAUGGGAUGCUAAAGGCUUGAAAGGCCAUAGUAGGUUUAUCUUCGAUGUCCUUGAUGAUCUUGUGAGAGAAAUGGCUGAAAAAUACCUCCAAGAAGAAGGAAGUGAUGAUAUAACAGCCGGUCUUCGAUAUAUAUGGUAUGAAACGUUCAAUGCAUGGUUUACGGAAGCUAAGUGGAGCAGAAGUGGAUUCAUACCAUCAGUAGAGGAUUACCUUGAAACGGGCAUGACAUCUAUUGCUACGCACACCCUUGUUCUUCCAGCUUCGUGUUUGUUGAACAAAAGUUUACCAAAGUACCUACUCAAGCCACCCCAUGAAGCCAUUACCAGACUGAUUAUGAUCAUCCCUCGUUUGUUGAAUGAUAUACAGAGUUAUGAGAAGGAAGAAAAAGAAGGAAAAACAAACUUUGUUUUGCUCAAUUUGGAAAACAAUCCUGGAAUAGAACUUGAAGAUUCAAUAGCAAUUACUAACAAGAUGCUCGACGAAAAGAAAAGAGAGUUGAUACAGCAUGCUCUAAUGGAUGGCUUUAAUGAUUUACCAAAACAAUGCAGGCAUCUCCACUUGUCAUGUUUGAAAGUAUUUCAAAUGUUCUUUGAUUCUAGCAAUAGAUAUGAUUCCAGCACAGAAAUGCUUCAAGACAUUCAAAAGGCAAUAUAUCUCCCUCUGGAAGUGAUAGAACCAAAGCCCUUAAAACUUCCUGAGACAACAAUUAGGCCCUUGUUGCCUCCAGCUCCUCUGCAUUCUGGAUCAGGAAAGAGAUAUCAAACAAUUGUCAACUAUCACUUUGAUCAUCGUUUCAAGCAUAACAGAACUAGCAUUUCUGCAAAACGUAUAGCUUGGCCUCUUUCGAAGUAUCGAUCCAUGAAUAUGCCUAUGCCAUUAAACUUCAAAUUAUGUUUUACGUAAGUUCACAGGACUCGGUAUACAAAAUAAGUUGGGUCAUUUUUUUUCUUUUGGAAAUAUGACUAGCUUCUUGUAAUAGAGAUAGUCUGCAAGUUGGUGAAAAUUCAGGAUAGGUUUAGUGGUUUGUGUAGUGUAUUGUGUAGAUAGUCUGCAAGUUGGUGAAAAUUCAGGAUAGGUUUAGUGGUUUGUGUAGUGUAUUGUGUAGAUAUGUUUGCUCAGCCAUGCCUGUGAGCAUGACUGUAUAUAACUAUGCUUUGUAUUUAAAUGAUGAUAUUAAUUUUAAUGAAUAACAAUAGUACUUGCA
rnacentral:misc_RNA from 1 species